rnacentral:rRNA from 1 species
AUUGAACGCUGGCGGCAGGCCUAACACAUGCAAGUCGAGCGGGCGGCGGACGGGUGAGUAAUGCCUAGGAAUCUGACUGGUAGUGGGGGAUAGCGUACGGAAACGGUAGCUAAUACAGCAUACCAUCGGCUUUGCCCAGAUGGGAUUCGCUUUUGGGUGGGGUAACGGCUCACCUAGACGACGAUCCCGAGCUGGUCUUAGAGGAUGACCAGCAAACCUGGAACGGAGACACGGUCCAGACCCCGACGGGAGGCAGCAGUGGGGAAUAUUGCACAAUGGGCGCAAGCCUGACGCAGCAAUGCCGGGUGUAUGAAGAAGGCCUUCGGGUUGUAAAGUACUUUCAGCGGGGAGGCGUUACCCGCAGAAGAAGCAACGGCUAACUACGUGCCAGCAGCCGCGGUAAUUC